GUUUCAUCAGCUAGAAGUUUUAUUUAUUUUAUUUAUUUCAUGAUUUGUCCUGUUUGAGGAGCGUAAGACAGGACUGAAAAGCAUUAAGCGAUGCAUCCCAGAUUAUCAAAAUAUUGUGAUAACGUUUCUCUAAGUAUGUAUCAAAGUCCUUGUAAAGCAUGUCCACUUGGCGCCCAUCUUGUUGACUGGCAAUUACUUACCAGAAGUGGAUCGACAAGAGGAUGUUUUAAGCACAGAUUUGAAAUGGUUGUAAAUAAUGUGUGGCUUUUGGUUCAAAUAACAUAUUUACAUAUUUAUAUUAACAUAUUUAUUCAGAUUGCUCUAUCUACUAUGCACAAGUAAAGAAGAAAAAUGCCCAAUAUCUGCUAGUGUCAGUUUAAGAAUCUGAUAGGCCAGCAUUUUCAGCUAACAUCUUAACCAACAAGGCAAUUGGCUCUUUUUUACUGGAGGGCGGGACUUGCUUAUUUCAGCCAACAUAUUAAGUGUUACAUUCUGCCUUAUUCAUAUUUCAAGCAGUGGGUUGUUUUCACUCAAACUAUCUCUGGUAUGUAAUUCCUACUGCUAGUUUGGCUAAAGCACUAUUCCCUGGCAGGGGUGUGACAAGAUCCUUGGUAUAAUCCAAAAUGUCUUAUUACUUUUACAUUUGCAUUCACCUCAUUUGUCUGAUGCUUUUAUUUCUGUGGCAUAGUAGUGGUUGUUUUUAAUAUAUGAAAAAUCCUAUUUUAUUCAAUGAAAUAGACUGCUAAAAUUGCAAAAUUAAAGGAAAACUGAACAAAAUAGCUCACCCCCAUAGUUCACAACAGUGGACUAGUCCUUUUUGCUUGGUUAGCCAUUAGCUAUCUUUCUAUAUGUAAGUUGGUAUGUAAGCUAUUACCAUUAACUAAUAAAACAGUAAUGAGAGUGGCUGAGAAAGACACCUUCUUUUACCAAGAUGGGUAUAAACCAGAGGAAGGAUACAAGAGACAGGAGAAGAGGUGAACAAGUAACCGAGAGAGGAGCGGAUGUGAAUGCUGAAGCAACACAGAGACAGGAGAGGAGGGCAGGUGAUGCUCUCGGAUGAUCUCUUCAUUGCUUCUGUGUGGCUGGUAAUGUGUUUAAACAAUCAGAUGGGUUGCUAGACUUCUGUGGCACUAAUUAUAGCUUUUUAUUUUUGCCCUUUGAUCAUUAUUUACCAUCUUUAAAAUGUAUUAUUAUUAUUAUUGUUAUUAUUAUUAUUAUUAUAAGAUAGUAAUAUGGUGAUAGCAUUUUGAAAUGAUGACUUUGUGUGAGCAUGGGUGGGUGUCUUAACAGGUUCCAGGUAUUUUGCAUCUAAUCGUUCAAAAAGAAUCUCUCUUCUUUCAUCGAACAAGCACACAAACAAACAAACUGUCAAGAAGACAAGAUUGUCUGUGCAGGGCCCUUGCCGGCCACCCUGCCUACUGUAUAUUCACUGACUGCAUGGGCUCUGCUUAAAGGAGGGUCAUUAGCAGUUCUCACAUGUAAACUAUUAAGAGAAGAAAGGCUUGAAACAGGUUUAUUUAUGCCCUGGACUCCCAAAGAGCACCUACAAAAAAGUUAAUGAUAGCAGUUCAAGUAGGCUAAUGAUUUUGGUCAGACUUUAAAUAGCUUUGUGCAUGUGGGUGUCACGAAACCCUCGUGUUAAGGACCUGGUUUCACAGUUCCUGUUCCGGUUCUGCCUUGGCCACAACUCGUGAUCAUUGUUUGAACCUUUGUCUAAGUUUGACGCACACAUGUCUUGUUUCCCCAGUAACAAAUAUUGUAUAUAAUUUUGUUUGUUCUUUGUCCUUGUGAAGUAUUGCACCUGUUAGUGAUCCAUUUCUGAGCUGUCUUUGCCUGUUCUUUGACCCAUGCUAUGGAUUAUGAUCAUGACAUUUGGGAAAAAAAACUACUAAAUAAAAAGACUAUGUUUACAUCCAGAAGACUUUGCCAAACAUGAAUGUAGUGACGCUUAGUAGACUGCAAGAUAAACUGUUGGCUCAAGUUUCAACAGCAGCAGUGCAACCUUGAGGAUAAAAAAGUUCCUGUCCUUUCUCACUUCCACCAUUGUUCAAGCUGUCAGUAAGCUGUUUUCUCCUCUAGCCUUAGCAGUUUGAAUAACUGGCUGUUGAAUAACUGGCUUUUGAAUAACUGGCUGGUGAGAAGCUGCACCCCAUUCUUCAACAUAAUUCACCUUUUUGCUGCAUCUCACCUGGACUUCCCAAGAAUUGGGAGAAUCGAAAAUCUGUCUUCUUCUAAUCUCAAGACUCCUGUUCAUUAUAUUUUAAUAGAGAACCAUAUGUAUCUUUUCACCACCUCUAGUAAUAUUUACUUUUCUCUGUAUAGCUGUACUAUAUUUCCCAGUAUAGGCUUGGUUCCCUUUUGAGCCUGGUUUCUGUCCAGGUCUAAUUUUCAGGGAGUUUUUCCUUGCCACUGUCACAGUUGGCUUGCUCAUUACUGUAUAUCAAAGUCCAUAUUUCUGUGAAGCUGUUUUGUGGCAGUGGCAGUUUUUAAAUGUGCUUUACGAAUUAAACUGAUAUAUACUGAAUUGAAAAGUUUCCACUUUACCUUGAGCAUGUAUUGAGAACACCUCUUCCUGAACUAAAUAUUUUGCAGUCAUUUUCUCACAUGGUAAGUUUGUGAGUGAUUCACUAAUCCCUAAAGCCUAGACUGCAGCUUAUGUCUUUCAAUCUACUGACCCGUUAAAUUGACUUCCAAAAACUCCCUCCAUGUCAGCCUCUAUGUUGUGUGGUUUCUUGUCUCUCUCAUAUGACACUGCAUUUGUUGUUUCCUGUUUCCCUGGCAGCCAUCUAUACUGUGUCCCUAGUUGGUGCUCCUCUCAUCUAAAAAUUUCAGAACAACCCUUGUCUAAAUCUUUGUCCUCCAGUCCUGAAACAGAUGCACUGCUAUGCUAUUUCCGGCCUCUGUGAACUUUACAGGUUAGAGAAAUACAUUCUCAUGAGACAGGAUACAGAGUGAAUAAGCCAGUGACAAUGCAGUGGCCACUCUAAAGCUCUAAAUCCAAGACUACCACAAAGCUAAAAUCCAGUUACAGAGGGGCUAGUAGAGUGCAAGUAGAGAGUGUUUUUUUCUGUGUAGAUUUAAGUGCUUAAGUGUUUAGUGAUGAGGCAGUUCUUCAAAUCUUUGUUUAAAGACAGCCAGUGACUCAGUUGUUUGGACAGCCAGGGGGAGUUUAUUACGCCACCUGGCUGCCAGUUCAGAGAAAAAUCUUAAUGCAUGUCUUCCACGUUUCUUGAUGCAGAGCAGGUCAGGGUCAAGAUGCUAGUGCUACACAACGGGAUAUGAUAAGUGUCUUCAGGGAAGUGGAAGCUGGUUCAUUUGUGGCGUUGUAGGCAAACAUCAGUGUUUUUCAAAGUUGACAAAACACCUGAGUGGCCUCUGUCAAGAGAAAAGGCCAGAUCCUAUUGAUGUUUUGGAAGGGAAACCUACAUGACUGAGUCAGGUUAUCAACAUGAGCAGAAAAUGACAGCUGUCCAGGUCUAUACCAAAUCUGUUUCAUGGUCCAUUGUCAAGUGUUGUGAUCAAAGGGUUCUCCAGGGAGAGGACUUGUUGUGAGGGUGUAUCUCCAGGCAAAUGUAGGAGCUCAGUCUUGCUGGGAUUUAGUUUCAGGUAAUGAGCUGCCAUCCAUAAUGAGAUGUCUGUCAGGCAUGCCAGAAUCCAAGCUGAGUCUGAGGGAGAAAAAAAGGUAAGGUGUUGUGGAGGGUAAAUAGAGACUAGUAGAAAAGGGGGAGAUAGAAAGAGGACCAAGAACUGAAUCUUGUAGGACACCAGUGGAAACUCUGAAUGGAGCAGACUUAGAUCCCCUCCAUGUCACCUAGGUAGGAAACUAACAAGUCUCCAAAGAAACUCAAAAGAAAAAGACAGGAGAUUCUUGUUAUUGACCAUAUCAAAGCCUGCUGAGAAGUGAAGAGGGAUCAGGACUAAUGACUGGCUGGCUAAUAUAGUGCCAUGAAUCAUCUCAGUAAAAGCCACAAAGGCAGUUUCUUUGGAGUCUGCCGCCUUGAAGCCUGACUAUUUCGGGACUUGGAGGUCAUUCUGUAUAAGAAAGAGAGGCAGCUGAUUGUAAAAAGGAUGUUCUAGAGAAAGAAGAGAAGUGAUACCAGUCGUUAGGUGUCUAGUUUGGGCUAUUUUAGAUUGUGUAUAACCCUUGCUGUCUAGAAAGCUGCUGGUAUGUGACCAGAAGAUAAGCAAGACAGUUCCUGACCAGUUUCCUGUCCUUAACUCAGUUCCUUAGCCCAGGGGUUUUCAAACUGGGGUCCUUGACAGAAAAACUUGACAGAAAUAAAAAAAUUUACAUGAUUUACUUAAGAGUUUGUUUUAAAUAAUUUAUUUUUUAUCCUAAGACUAUUAAUAACCAAAUCUGUAUAUAGUUUUGUGAUUUAUAUGAGUGGAUCCUUGUAAUGUAUUUAUCCCAAAAUACUUUGCACUUUUAUUGUUUUGCAUUUUACAGUAGGCUAAUCUGAACGGAGCAGUUAGCGGCUGUGUAUGUGCUCUACAAAUAAUGGAAAAAUUUUUGAAGAAUCCUGAUCCUGCAAGCAGUUCGUGUAAAUCUGAUGAAACUAAGGCGGACACUAAGGCAAAAACUAGAAAAUAUGACAAAUCUUACACUGCGUUUGGUUUUACCUGCAUGUUAAAGCAGGGAGACCGCAGUGUGUUCUCCGUCAAGAGAUUCUCUCCAACGAGUGCAUGAAACCAUCCAAGCUCAAACGACAUCUACAGCAGAAACAUCCCAAUGAGGCAGGAAAAUCAACUGACUAUUUCAAACAUCAGGAGCUGUGUUUGGCCCGGCAGUCUAGUAUUUUUCGGCAGCAAGCAUCAGUCCCUGAGAGGUGUUUAAAAGCAUCAUAUUUGGCAUCCCUCCACAUUGCACGUGCUAAGAAGCGGCACAAAGUUGGCGAAACAUUAUUAUUACCAGCUACUAAAGACAUCGUCAGGGAGUUAUUUGGAGAGGAAGCGGCACGAAAGGUAGAUUGUGUGCCUUUGUCGGACAAUACGGUGAGCAGACGCAUAGGUGAGAUGGCCAGUGAUAUUGCAUUGCAACUUUUAGAAUAACUGCAAGCCAGUGAAUACUUUGUGCUGCAGUUGGAUGAACGUACUGAUGUAGCGAAUCAAGCACAGCUAAUGGUCUAUAUACGUUUCCUUGAUAAGGACAAAUUUAUUGAGGAACUUCUCUUUUCUCUCGCUUCAAGUGCCCUUGAAGGCAGAACCAUGGGGCAGGACAUCUUUAAUAUGAUGGAUCAAUUCAUAACGGACAAUUCAAUAGACUGGUCUCGCUGUAUUGGAGUGUGUACUGUCGGCCAAACAUAAUGCUUUUCCUUUAAACCAAAAAGUUCUAUUUUAGAUUCAUGUGUCCAGAACAUUCUUCCAUUGGGCUUCUGGCUUAUCCAUGUGCUUUGAGCAAACUUCGGUUGGGCAGCAGUGUUUUUUUUUUGUUUUUUUUUUGAGAGAAGUGGCUUCCUCCUUGCUAUCCUGCUAUGCACACCAUUCAUGAUAAGUGUUUUGCCUGAUGGUGGACUCAUGAACAUUGACAUUACUCAUGAGUGGCCUGUAGGUUCUUAGAUUUUACCCCAGGGUUCUUUGUGACUUCCUGUAAAGUUAUUCGCUGCACCCUUGGAGUGAUUUUUGAUGGACGGCUACACUCCUUGGGAGAGUAACAGUGGCACUGAAUUUCCUCCAUUUGUAUAUCAUCUGCCUCACAGUGGAUUGGUGGAGGCCACAGUUUAUGUUCUUGAAACGUGGGAGGG